rnacentral:rRNA from 1 species
GCUGCCAGUGGCGGCGGGGUAGUCAGGUCAGGCAUUGCCUUUUCGGCGGGGGUAACAUCCGGAGACGACGGCUAAACCGCAUGACACCCUCGGGUCAAGUGGGCCUUAGCUCGCGCCGAAAGAGAAGCCUAAGUGAGAUUAGCUAGUUGGUGAGGUAAAGGCUCACCAAGGCGACGAUCUCUAGCUGUUCUGAGAGGAAGAUCAGCCACACUGGGACUGAGACACGGCCCAGACUCCUACGGGAGGCAGCAGUGGGGAAUAUUGCACAAUGGGGGCAACCCUGAUGCAGCCAUGCCGCGUGUGUGAAGAAGGCCUUCGGGUUGUAAAGCACUUUUCAGUGGUGAGGAAAGGUGUGUAGUUAAUAGCUGCAUGCUGUGACGUUAGCCACAGAAGAAGCACCGGCUAACUCCGUGCCAGCAGCCGCGGUAAUACGGAGGGUGCGAGCGUUAAUCGGAAUUACUGGGCGUAAAGCGCACGCAGGCGGAUACUUAAGCUAGAUGUGAAAGCCCCGGGCUCAACCUGGGACGGUCAUUUAGAACUGGGUAUCUAGAGUCUUGGAGAGGGGAGUGGAAUUCCAGGUGUAGCGGUGAAAUGCGUAGAUAUCUGGAGGAACAUCAGUGGCGAAGGCGACUCCCUGGCCAAUGACUGACGCUCAUGUGCGAAAGUGUGGGU